rnacentral:ribozyme from 1 species
UGCCCAGCAAUUCCUAUCACUGCCUCCACGUGGUACCGGCCGGAAACUAUGAGCAACCUUAGGAAAUAUCGGGUAACCAACCCCGGUGGGAACUUGGAUCGUAGGCUGACAGGGAAGG